AUUGAACGCUGGCGGCAGGCCUAACACAUGCAAGUCGAACGAGUGGCGGACGGGUGAGUAAGGUAUGGGACACGGCGUGAUGGAGGGGGAUAACUACUGGAAACGGUAGCUAAUACCGAAUAGCUUCAGAUGGGCCCAGAUGGGAUUAGCUUGUGGGUGGGGUAACGGCUAACGAAGGCGACGAUCCCUAGCUGGUCUGAGAGGAUGACCAGCAACACUGGAACUAAGACACGGUCCAGACUCCUACGGGAGGCAGCAGUGGGGAAUAUUGCACAAUGGGCGCAAGCCUGAUGCAGCCCUGCCGCGUGUAUGAAGAAGGCCUUCGGGUUGGAAAGUACUUUCAGCGGGGAGGCGUUACCCGCAGAAGAAGCACCGGCUAACUCCGUGCCAGCAGCCGCGGUAAUAC
rnacentral:rRNA from 1 species